rnacentral:rRNA from 1 species
AGAGUUUGAUCAUGGCUCAGGAUGAACGCUGGCGGCGCGCCUAACACAUGCAAGUCGAACGGAGAUAUCUGUAGCAAUAUAGGUAUCUCAGUGGCGGACGGGUGAGUAACGCGUGAGGAACCUGCCUUUCGGAGGGGAAUAACACAUCGAAAGAUGUGCUAAUACCGCAUAACGUCAUUGGGUGGCAUCAUCUGAUGACCAAAGGAGCAAUCCGCCGAAAGAUGGCCUCGCGUCCGAUUAGAUAGUUGGUGAGGUAAUGGCCCACCAAGUCUGCGAUCGGUAGCCGGACUGAGAGGUUGAACGGCCACAUUGGGACUGAGACACGGCCCAGACUCCUACGGGAGGCAGCAGUGGGGGAUAUUAGACAAUGGGGGAAACCCUGAUCUAGCGACGCCGCGUGAGGGAAGAAGGUCUUCGGAUUGUAAACCUCUGUCUUCGGGGAAGAUAAUGACGGUACCCGAGGAGGAAGCUCCGGCUAACUACGUGCCAGCAGCCGCGGUAAUACGUAGGGAGCAAGCGUUAUCCGGAUUUAUUGGGUGUAAAGGGUGCGUAGGCGGGAAGGCAAGUUGAAUGUGAAAUACCGGGGCUCAACUCCGGGGCUGCGUUCAAAACUACUUUUCUUGAGUACAGCAGAGGCAAGCGGAAUUCCCAGUGUAGCGGUAAUAUGCGUAGAUAUUGGGAGGAACACCGGUGGCGAAGGCGGCUUGCUGGGCUGCAACUGACGCUGAAGCACGAAAGUGUGGGGAGCAAACAGGAUUAGAUACCCUGGUAGUCCACGCCCUAAACGAUGCACACUAGUUGUUGUGAGGCUAGACCUUGCAGUAAUGCAGUUAACACAUUAAGUGUGCCGCCUGGGGAGUACGGUCGCAAGAUUAAAACUCAAAGGAAUAGACGGGGACCCGCACAAGCGGUGGAGCAUGUGGUUUAAUUCGACGAUACACGAAGAACCUUACCUGGACUUGACAUAGUAAGAACUUUCUAGAGAUAGAUU